rnacentral:rRNA from 1 species
UACGUAGGGUGCAAGCGUUGUCCGGAAUCAUUGGGCGUAAAGCGCGCGUAGGCGGCCCGAUAAGUCCGCUGUAAAAGUCAACGGCUCAACUGUUGAAAGCCGGUGGAUACUGUCGGGCUAGAGUACGGAAGAGGCAAGUGGAAUUCCUGGUGUAGCGGUGGAAUGCGCAGAUAUCAGGAGGAACACCAAUAGCGAAGGCAGCUCGCUGGGACGUUACUGACACUGAGGCGCGAAAGCGUGGGGAGCGAACAGG